CAGGAAUGUAGCCUCGCCUUACCACAGCCCACUUGGAAGAGGGGAAUAUUUGCUCAGGGAAAAAGGGAAGUUCUUGAAAGGAUCUGGCCUUUGCGGUGCGCUGGUGCAGCUCAAGCAUGACACAUGAGGUUAUUCCCCCAAAUUCUUUGAGCCUUUUUCUAGGGAAUGACAACACAUGUUGCGGUCAAAGUGUCAAACCCGCACAUCUGCUCAGCUGUCAUCCGUCAGAUGCCCAAGGAGACUCGGCCUGGAAUGCUCUCCGCCGCCUCUCGCGAGAUGUGUGUAUGUGUGUCUGUUUUGGCAGACAGCGCUGUAGUGCACAGACUCCACUGCUGAUAUGAAGGCAGGCCCCUCACUCUCUCAUCGGCAACA